rnacentral:lncRNA from 1 species
ACAGCGUCACCACGGCAACAGCGUCACCCACGGCAACAGUGUCACCCAUGGCAACAGCGUCACCCACAGCUACAGUCGGACAUCCACAGCAACAGUAUCACCCAUGGCAACAGCGUCACACAUGGCUACAACAUCACCCACAGCAACAGCGUCACCACGGCAACAGCGUCACACACAGCAACAGCGUCACCCACAGCUACAGUCAGACAUCCACAGCAACAGCAUCACCCAUGGCAACAGUGUCACCCAUGGCAACAGCCGGACAUCCGUGGCAACAGCGUCACCCACGGCAACAGCGUCACCCAUGGCAACAGCGUCACCCACAGCAACAGUGUCACCCAUGGCAACAGUGUCACCCAUGGCAACAGCAUCACACAC